AGAGCGGAACGCGUGGACGGCAGGCCUAACACAUGCAAGUCGAGCGCCCGUAGCAAUACGGGAGCGGCAGACGGGAUAGUAACACGUGGGAACGCGCCCUUCGGUUCGGAAUAACUCAGGGAAACUUGAGCUAAUACCGGAUACGCCCUUACGGGGAAAGAUUUAUUACCGAAGGAACGGCCCGCGUCCGAUUAGCUAGUUGGUGAGGUAAUGGCUCACCAAGGCGACGAUCGGUAGCUGGUCUGAGAGGAUGACCAGCAUCACUGGGACUGAGACACGGCCCAGACUCCUACGGGAGGCAGCAGUGGGGAAUAUUGGACAAUGGGCGCAAGCCUGAUCCAGCCAUGCCGCGUGGAUGAUGAAGGCCUUAGGGUUGUAAAGUCCUUUUAACGGGGAGAUAAUGACGGUACCGUAGAAUAAGCCCCGGCUAACUUCGUGCCAGCAGCCGC
rnacentral:rRNA from 1 species